GACGAACGCUGGCGGCGUGCUUAACACAUGCAAGUCGAACGGGCCUGUCUUCUUUUUUGGGGGGUGGGUUGAGUGGCGAACGGGUGAGUAUCACGUGAGUAACCUGCCCUUCGGUCCUGGAUAACCGCUUGAAAGGGCGGCUAAUACGGGGUGGUCCGGUUGGUCCGCAUGGGCUGGUCGGGAUAGAUUCACUGUUUUUGGUGUUUCGGCGGGGGAUGGGCUCGCGGCCUAUCAGCUUGUUGGUGGGGUGGUGGCCUACCAAGGCGGUGACGGGUAGCCGGGCUGAGAGGGUGGGCGGCCACACUGGGACUGAGAUACGGCCCAGACUCCUGCGGGAGGCAGCAGUGGGGGGUAUUGCACAAUGGGCGGAAGCCUGAUGCAGCGACGUCGCGUGAGGGAUGGAGGCCUUCGGGUUGUGAACCUCUGUUUCCGGUGGUGAAGGCCCUGUCCGUGUGGUGGGGUUGACGGUAGCCGGGGAUGAAGCGCCGGCUAACUACGUG
rnacentral:rRNA from 1 species